rnacentral:lncRNA from 10 species
AACUCGCAGAGCUGGGCUGGUAAAAUUGCAGUGCUGAAGACACUGGACCCGCAAAAGGCUGUCCCUCCCAAACCUGGGAUUCUGGGCUCACUGAGUUCACCUGCGAGUCAGCCCUACCUGCACUGCUCUGGUCUAGUACAAACAGGCUGCUGGCAUUGAGGGACGGAGUCUCCAACUCCUGGCCUCUAGCAGUCCUCCUGUGUAGGUCUCCCAAAGUGCUAGUGUGUCCGGAAUUGGUGGGUUCUUGGUCUCACUGACUUCAAGAAUGAAGCCGCGGACCCUCGCAGUGAGUGUUACAGUUCUUAAAGGCAGCGUGUCCGGAGUUUGUUCCUUCUGAUGUUCAGAUGUGUUUGGAGUUUCUUCCUUCUGGUGGGUUCGUGCUCUUGCUGGCUCAGGAGUGAAGCUGCAGACCUUCACAGUCUGCUACAAUGCUGCUGCUGCACAGAGCUGUGGUCCUCAGGCUCCAACAGGCCUGCAGACUCAAGUCAAUCCCCUCAAGGAUCUGCAUUCAGGCCUGCUCCACAAAUGAUUCAUUUCAGCCCCAGCGCCCCAGCCU